CUCAAGAUGAGAUUUCACAACUUCGGUUAUAAGAUCCCUCGAAGAUGACGAGGUUAAUAGGUUCGAGGUGGAAGCGUGGUGACACGUGGAGCUGACGAAUACUAAUCGAUCGAAGACUUAAUCAAUUUUUUAAAAGUGUU
rnacentral:rRNA from 1 species